UGGUGGUUGGGACGUUCUCCAGAACUCUCCGUAUGGGAGAGCACAGGGAAGUGGAAAACAAGGGAUGAUUUAUUUCCCAGGAAGCUGCACUAGGUAGCAGUGGAAAUGAAAGCAAUCCUAUUUCCCACGCAGGCUCCACCAAUCUUUUGAAAUGCUGAAGAUCACAUCUUGAGGGAAUUUGUUGGAGCCUUUGAAGUAUUUUUAUGUUAGGCCCCUAUGGCAGAAGAUUGUACAGAUCAAGAAAGUACCGAGUAGAUUUAUUCACAGAAAAUGCAUUUAAAUUACCCAGCUAUACGGGUGCACGUUCUUCAUUUAUAGCCUGGUGUUUGGGCCCUGAAAUCCUCCCAAGAAUUGAGGUCAUAGAAUUGGAAAAUGAGCUUCUGUACACCAUCCUUCUGGCCUUUCGGAUGUAAUGGAGUCUGCACUGUGUGGUAAAUUGGACGGAAUUCAGAGAAGAGCAACAAAAACAAUUAAGGGAGGAGAGGAACUGACUUACAUGGAAAGAUUAAAGCAUUACAAAUUUGUGGCUUGGUGAUGCAGAGACUACCGCGAGUCAUUGGAAGUUUCUGGAGACAGGAAUGCGGCUUCAAAAAUCCCUGGCCUUGUCUGAACAUGGUUUUGUUUGUGUGUUUGUUUUAAAGGAAAACCUUUUCCGAGCAAUAUCCUCAUCUGGUGUAACUUACCCCAGUGCCAGUGAAAACAAUGGAGCCGGGUGUUCUGGGCCACGUUACACUGUCUAAACAUGUGGCCCUUGCACUCUUUUAAAACUGGCACAGCGGUGCCAGAACUCAGAGUGGUUAAAUGGGGAAGAUUUUUGUACGUCUCCCUUCUACAGCACCCCUGCAAAAUGCUGGCAAGAGCCAGCAAACUUAAAAUGUUGAAUUCCUCAGCUGAAUGGUGGCAGAUAAUGGACAGGGAGGGGCAUCUCUGUUACCUUGUUCUUCACAUGCUCUUGCAGGAAUAAGGGCAGCUUUUGGACCGGCAGAGAACAGCCUGAAACAGCCCCAGAAAAUGCGGGAUGUUGCCACGGGAGGUUCUGAGGGGCUGCAGGUGUAACCCAGCCCUGGGUGUGCGUGGCUCUUAUGCAGAGGAGCAGCUCACGGGUACCCCGGGUACCGAGCGGAGCUGGCUGGGGUGGGCACAGCAGCUCAGCUGUCCGGCCCCAAAAAGUUCUGUCCUCGCAGAGGGGAUCGGGGUGGUGGCUGCUCUGCAGGCACAAGGCACGGAUUGUUCCUCGUGGUCCACAGGGAUCGAGUUACGGUGAGGCUGAGCAAUUAAAAACGUGGGCUGGCUCUGAGGAAAAUGAAGUGUGAAGCCCGUUGGACUGCGGAACAGUCUUGGAAGAGAAGUGAUGGAGGCCCUGGUGCUUGGGAAGUGGGACUUGUCCUGGGGAUGGAGCGUUAAUUGAGGCACCGUGGCCAAAUUUGAAGCGAGAGGUUAAUUCCUGGCUCCCUCGCCUGCUCCCUGCUCCAGCUGGGCACGGAGUGAUUCCAGCCCAGGGCUGGAGCGCUUGGCUGCACGGGCAGCUGAGAAGCUGCCACCUUUCCCAUCAGUGAUUGCUUUUAUGGGAUGGGUGAAGCUGCCAGGGACAGGGGAGGAGAUGGAAAGGUGGCAUCAUCUGCGUGGAAGUUGCUCCAAAUAGAGUUUCCUUUGAAAGUCAUGGUCUUCACUGAGGGGGGAAAGGGGACAAACCACCAAGAUUGGAACUAAUUUUGAGCCUUACCAGUGGCACCCAAACAGCAAAAGGCCUAAAGGGCCAGUGGAGAUUGUGUUGCCAUUGCCUCCAUCCUGAUUUUCUUUGGGUCAGGGGUGAGGAGCAGCGAGUGCCCCAUUCCUGCUCAUCCCAGCUCAGUGGAUGAACAGGAGGGAGCAGCGAGUGCCCCAUUCCUGCUCAUCCCAGCUCAGUGGAUGAACAGGAGGGAGCAGUGAGUGCCCCAUUCCUGCUCAUCCCAGCUCAGUGGAUGAACAGGAGGGAGCAGUGAGUGCCCCAUUCCUGCUCAUCCCAGCUCAGUGGAUGAACAGGAGGGAGCAGUGAGUGCCCCAUUCCUGCUCAUCCCAGCUCAGUGGAUGAACAGGAGGGAGCAGUGAGUGCCCCAUUCCUGCUCAUCCCAGCUCAGUGGAUGAACAGGAGGGAGCAGUGAGUGCCCCAUUCCUGCUCAUCCCAGCUCAGUGGAUGAACAGGAGGGAGCAGCGAGUGCCCCAUUCCUGCUCAUCCCAGCUCAGUGGAUGAACAGGAGGGAGCAGUGAGCGCCCCAUUCCUCAUCCCAGCACUGCCCAGCUCAGAGGGUGAGAGGAAGGAGCUCACCCUCCUGAGAUGAGUGUUUGGAGAACAGGGAUUUGGAGUGUGAGAAGGAGGCAGCAGACAGGAAUACCGAAUGUGGACUGAGGAUGCCGGGGGAAUUGUUUCCAUAGAAACCCGACCAUGGAGGCUCACGCUGCUCCCCCAUCUCAGACUUACAAAUUCAUGUGAUUUGCCUUCAUGGUCAACAGAAUGCCUGGAGAGGAGGUGGGUGAUUAGGAAAAUUCGGGUUUGCUGCAGAUGUGGGAGCGCUGUGCUGGAUUCCCUGUCUGAGGGAACUGGGAGUGGCCCCUAGGCUGGGAUGUGCUGGAGUAAAUCAGGAUUAACCCCUGGGCACUGCAUGGUGCCCUACUGGUGUCAAACAAAGGGAAUCAGGCCUAGCUUAUUUUAGUUAAAUGAAGGGGAAAAAAAAAAAAAAGGUUUUCAUUUGCUUCAUUGCAUUGUUCUCCCACCUUUGCUGGCCAGGCCUUUUGCAGACAUCAUCUCUGCCUGCACACCCACAGCAUUCAGAAAUGCCUCAGGAAAUGUUCUGAAAUGUCCUCCAUGCAAGCACAGGCCUCUCCUUGCCAGAAUUUAUGAGGGGCCCUGGGAGCCUGUUUCCUUCGUUUGUUCCUGGAAAGAUUUCUUCUUGGAAAAUCCAAGAUGUUUAGGACUAAUUUAUGUUCCUCCAGUCCCUUCAAAGAAACCAACACCUCCAAGAGCUCCCACAAACCCCCAAAUGCAGCACCCACCUAGGAGUCAAAGUUUGUGUGGGAGAAGAGGCUAAAGGAGGUCAGAGAACCCCAAAUGAAAUGUGGAGGUGCCAAGGUUUGGUGUAAAUGUGGGGUUGGGUUCCUCUGACCAUCUCCUGGAGUUUGAUUUGGGCUCAGCUGAUCGGGGCUGUCUGAUUUUUUUUUUUUUUUAAGUAUCCAAGCUUCACAAUCCACAAACUUCAUCUUUUAUUCUCUUUUUAGAAGAGAAUAUUGGUGUGGAGGGGAGAGGAGAGCAGGAAGUGGAGAUUUGGACAGUUUUGGACAUGAUUUGCCCACUAUCCCAUUCUCCAAGGAAUGGCUCCACAACCAGAAAUGUACAUGAUGUUAUUUUUCUGGCUGCACAUGGAGGGAAAAGCAAAAUCAAGGCUGAAAUUCAGGGGGAAAUGACUCCCAUCUCUCCUCCUGGUUUCCCCAGCCUCUCAAAAACUUGCUGGAGACCCUGAGAUCCUUAAGAGUGACCCAGCUCUGGGCUGGUCUCUUGAUAAGCACAGAUAAUGCUCCUACAGCUCCGAGAGGAAAACAUCUGAGGUUCAGGAAGGGUCAGCCAGGAAUGACAGCUGCAAAUAUGCAGGGAAAUCAAAGAGCUGCAGGGUUCCACCCAGGAGAGAGGAGAGCCCCAAAGCAGGAUUUGCAGGAAGAGAUACCCAGAGAGGAGCGUUUUUCCUCUCAGAUUUGUGAGAGUUCAAUGUUAACCCCGAGCCAUGUCUCUCUUGCUUUGUUUUGGAAAUGCUCUCCCUUGGACUCACUGCUUUUCCAGGGCUCCUCAGUUGCCUGAUUUUUUGUGGUGAAUGGAGCAAUAUUUGAUAUUUUCCUCAAGGAUCUGGACUGUGAAGUGAGAGGGGAGUGUGUCUGCAGCGUUGAGGUGCCCUAAUUUCAGCUGAAACCUCUGUGUGAUGCUAAAAUUGAAAUUCUGGCUUCAAUAGAGUUAAUUUUCCUCCUAGGAGCCAGCACGGGGCUGUGUUUUGGAACUGUGCUGACAACAGUGCUGAUAGCACAGGGAUGUUUUAGUUCCAGCUGGGCAGGGUUUGCACAGAGCCCUUUUUUUGCACUAAUAAGGGUGCACAGGGAGCUGGGAGGGGGCACAGCCAGGACAAGUGACCCUGAGUGACCACAGGGGUAACUCAGACCAUGCUCAACAUAAAAAAAACCUGAGCAGCCGCUCUGGAUUUCUCAAAACAAGGAGAGAAAUGGUGCAGCCUGUUCCCAAACCCUUUCUUUGAGCAAACAUCUGCUCUGUUACUGUUGGAAGGAGAAAAUUCUUAAUUUACUGAUUU